GGGGGGACUGCAGGAUCCUGGACUGUGUCCCCCAGUACCCUGGGAUCCAGGGCCUGCGCUGCUGGGAUCGCGCACCUGGAGCCGGGGCUCCCU
rnacentral:pre_miRNA from 1 species